UACGGGGGGGGCAAGCGUUGUUCGGAAUUACUGGGCGUAAAGGGCUCGUAGGUGGCCAACUAAGUCAGACGUGAAAUCCCUCAGCUUAACUGGGGAACUGCGUCUGAUACUGGAUGGCUUGAGUUCGGGAGAGGGAUGCGGAAUUCCAGGUGUAGCGGUGAAAUGCGUAGAUAUCUGGAGGAAUACCGGUGGCGAAGGCGGCAUCCUGGACCGAGAUUGACGCUGAACGACGAAAGCUAGGGGAGCAAACGGG
rnacentral:rRNA from 1 species